rnacentral:rRNA from 1 species
GACGAACGCUGGCGGCGUGCUUAACACAUGCAAGUCGAACGGAAAGGCCCUGCUUUUGUGGGGUGCUCGAGGGGCGAACGGGUGAGUAACACGUGAGUAACCUGCCCUUGACUUUGGGAUAACUUCAGGAAACUGGGGCUACUACCGGAUAGGAGCUGCUGCAGCAUGGUGGGGGUUGGAAAGUUUCGGCUGGUGGGGAUGGACUCGCGGCUUAUCAGCUUGUUGGUGGGGUAGUGGCUUACCAAGGCUUUGACGGGUAGCCGGACUGAGAGGGUGAGAGGCCACACUGGGACUGAGAUACGGCACAGACGCCUACGGGAGGAAGCAGUGGGGAAUAUUGCACAAUGGGCGGAAGCCUGAUGCAGCAACGCCGCGUGCGGGAUGACGGUCUUCGGGUUGUAAACCGCUUUCGCCUGUGACGAAGCGUGAGUGACGGUAAUGGGUAAAGAAGCACCGGCUAACUACGUGC